UUAAGGUGUAAACGGUGUGUAGGUCUGCUCAAAACUCAGGUUGGGUGCAGCUUCGACUGCAAAGUAUGGAGAGAGAGAGAGAGAGAGAUUAGAGGGAUGAGACAUGAAGCUGAAAGAAUCAGUGGGGAUCCGAGUGUUGUCGCCUCCAUUAAUGGCAUCCUUUGAACCAUUUGAACCCUCUGUCGGUCCAUCUACCAUUAUUUUCCUCCGAGUUUUAUAUAUUUACUAUAUUAUUAUAUCAAAUGGUAUCGUUUUAGAAUGUUGAACACCUCAAAAAUGAUGUCCCAUGUGGUAGUUGUUAACACCAGACAUAUAGGAUACCAGUUUUAAUUUGAAUGUUGUAGUUAAUGC
rnacentral:lncRNA from 1 species